UACGGAGGGUGCAAGCGUUAUCCGGAUUUACUGGGUUUAAAGGGUGUGUAGGCGGGUCUUUAAGUCGGGGGUGAAAUCUCCGAGCUCAACUUGGAAACUGCCAUUGAUACUAUUGAUCUUGAAUUCUGUUGAGGUGGGCGGAAUAAGUCAUGUAGCGGUGAAAUGCAUAGAUAUGACUUAGAACACCAAUUGCGAAGGCAGCUCACUAAACAGAUAUUGACGCUGAGGCACGAAAGCGUGGGGAGCAAACAGG
rnacentral:rRNA from 1 species